UGUGGGAGCUGGCUUGCCAGCGAUGGCGGUUUGUCAGUGAAUUGAAUGUUGACUGACUCACCGCUAUCGCUGGCAAGCCAGCUCCCACA
rnacentral:misc_RNA from 1 species